rnacentral:rRNA from 1 species
CCUGAGAAACCCAAAAGAUCGAAUGGGGAGAUUCAUCGUCAGCGCGUUUGGUAUAUGUGCAGAUUGCGAUGUGAGUUAUCCUUGUGAUAAUACUUGCACGUAUUUGUAUCAUUUAAUUGCCGAAUGUUGUCGGCGUGCACUUCUCCCCUAGUAGGACGUCGCGACCCGUUGGGUGUUGGUCUACGGUCCAGUUGGUAGCCUUUAAUGUUUUGCCGUAAGGUAUUAUAUUGAAGACCUCUGGUGUUUCCCGGCCGACUGCCCGGCGGUAUUCGCAUGGUAUUAAGCCGCUUUUAUGCGUCAAAUUCGCCACAAGCGCGAUCAAUGUUCUGGUAGUUACGGACCUAGUGCCGUCGCUAGGCAUGAUCAGCUGUUAGUUGUGCGAUGUUCUUUGACUGGCUUUAAUAAAAUUACCGGUCGGCGACGCUACUGCUUUGGGUACUUUCAGGACCCGUCUUGAAACACGGACCAAGGAGUCUAACAUGUACGCGAGUCAUUGGGAUUUAUUUUUCAGUGAAAACCUAAAGGCGUAAUGAAAGUAAAGAUUGUCCUUGUGGAUAAUUAAGGGAGGAUGAGUUGCGUUACGGUGUAACUCCGCACUCCCGGGGCGUCUCAUUCU